GACAUUAUAGCUCAGUGGUUAGACCUCCCGCUUGUUAAUUUCGAGGUCCGCGGUUCAAUCCCGCAUCUACUCU
rnacentral:tRNA from 1 species